ensembl:rRNA 5S_rRNA 5S ribosomal RNA
GUCUACAGCCAUACUACCCUGAAUGAGCCUGAUCUCAUCAUAUCUCAGAAGCUAAGAAGGGUCAGGCCUGGUCAAUACUUGGAUGGGAGAAAACAGGAACAGACA